UAAAUGUCAGUAGCAGCACUUUGUUACAGUCAGACUAAUGACAACAAUAAUAAAGCAUGUUUUCAAAAGGAACUAAGAACUGUAAUGGUAUUAUUAAGUACUCAUAUUGAUACUCGGUAUCGGUAAGUAAUCAAACGUAAGUACUCGUACUUGGUCUGGAAAAAACUGGUAUCGGUGCAUCCCUACAACAAAGAGACAG